UUUGUGUACCCACCUCUGUUGCUUUGGCGGGCCGCGGUCCUCCGCGGCCGCCCUCCGUCCGGGGGGUGGCCAGCGCCCGCCAGAGGACCAUCAAACUCCGGUCAGUGAACGUUGCCGUCUGAAAAACAAUCAAUAAACUAAAACUUUCAACAACGGAUCUCUUGGUUCUGGCAUCGAUGAAGAACGCAGCGAAAUGCGAUAAGUAAUGUGAAUUGCAGAAUUCAGUGAAUCAUCGAAUCUUUGAACGCACAUUGCGCCCCUCGGUAUUCCGAGGGGCAUGCCUGUUCGAGCGUCAUUACAACCCUCAAGCUCUGCUUGGUGUUGGGCACCGCCCUUCCGCGGGCGCGCCUCAAAGACCUCGGCGGUGGCGUCUUGCCUCGAGCGUAGUAGAAAACACCUCGCUUUGGAGCGCACGGCGCCGCCCGCCGGACGAACCUUUUGAACUUUCUCAAGGUUGACCUCGGAUCAGGUAGG
rnacentral:rRNA from 1 species